UAAAGCCUGGCUUUGAAAAUC
rnacentral:piRNA from 1 species